UACAGAGGUCUCAAGCGUUGUUCGGAUUCAUUGGGCGUAAAGGGUGCGUAGGCGGCGCGGUAAGUCGGGUGUGAAAUCUCGGAGCUUAACUCCGAAACUGCAUUCGAUACUGCCGUGCUUGAGGACUGGAGAGGAGACUGGAAUUUACGGUGUAGCGGUGAAACGCGUAGAUAUCGUAAGGAAGACCAGUGGCGAAGGCGGGUCUCUGGACAGUUCCUGACGCUGAGACACGAAGGUCAGGGGAGCAAACGGG
rnacentral:rRNA from 1 species